GUGACAGGUGGUGCAUGGUUGUCGUCAGCUCGUGUCGUGAGAUGUUGGGUUAAGUCCCGCAACGAGCGCAACCCUUAAGCUUAGUUGCCAUCAUUAAGUUGGGCACUCUAAGUUGACUGCCGGUGACAAACCGGAGGAAGGUGGGGAUGACGUCAAAUCAUCAUGCCCCUUAUGAUUUGGGCUACACACGUGCUACAAUGGACAAUACAAAGGGCAGCGAAACCGCGAGGUCAAGCAAAUCCCAUAAAGUUGUUCUCAGUUCGGAUUGUAGUCUGCAACUCGACUACAUGAAGCUGGAAUCGCUAGUAAUCGUAGAUCAGCAUGCUACGGUGAAUACGUUCCCGGGUCUUGUACACACCGCCCGUCACACCACGAGAGUUUGUAACACCCGAAGCCGGUGGAGUAACCUUUUAGGAGCUAGCCGUCGAAGGUGGGACAAAUGAUUGGGGUGAAGUCGUAACAAGGUAGCCGUAUCGGAAGGUGCGGCU
rnacentral:rRNA from 1 species